rnacentral:lncRNA from 1 species
CCAACGCCUCGACCUCCCAAAUUGCUGGGAUUACAAGUGUGAGUCACCGCAUCCAGCCUGAAUGUGUCACUUUUUAUUCCAGGUAUCUCCUGGUCCACCUCCUCUGAAGACUCUGAGCUCCCAGAGGGCUAGAACUGUGACUUGUCCCCCUUGGCAUCACAAGGUAUUACAAGGGCCUGGCAUGUGGACAGUUCCACGUGUGGCAUGAAUGAAUGAAUAGACGAUUACGUCUUGAUCAUCAGAGACUUUACAGGUCACAGAAAUCUUUCAUAUGAGUUAUCUCCUGUGAUCCUCACAACAGCCACCUGUUUAUAGAGAGCAUCAGAAAGGAUGAGUGAUGUUGAGGGUCACGCAGAGAAGCAAUGGCCGAAUUACUAGCCUCCGAAGGACUGUCACCAGAUUGGUCACCAUGGGGUAUCAAGUAGUGCUGCUGCAUAAAGGCAACACUGAGAGAUGAAGCCCCUUUCUCCAGCAUCUGUGUGGGUGGAGGGCCAGGGAUCCCGUCUGUUACGCACAUUCAACAAACUCAAGUUUUGCCAUCCACUGGGCGUCCUGCAGUACAGCGGUGUGGGCUCAUCUCCAGGACCUCUCUCUACGGGGUACGCCCCUCAUCUUGCGGUGAUCAGUGUUCCUUCCAGACCUCUCAGUCCGGACUGAGUUGGGCACCGCGUCAGCGUCUCCCGGCCAGGCUCGCCGCCGAUGACUCCGCUCGGCCUAGGGAGGCGGCCGAGAGCCCGUAGGGCUCCUCCUUCCCUCCAGUCUCUAUGGCGGAAGUGAGUUGUACGGGCCGAAACACCACAGCGUUCUCGGUGGUGGGCUGAAUGGACUCGUCCACAUGAGGGGGAUCUUCAUCACCAUCAACUCUUAAAAUCCGAGACAUAACCACGAAAGGAGCAGCCCCCAGAUCAGAGAGCAACGCAUGACUAUCUGCGUGUGCUUCUGUGACUACGCGGAUGUUGUGGGCGGCUACAUGCGUGCGGGGGCCCGGCGAGCUGGGCAGGUGCCCCCUCCGGGGCCGUGGGAUCUGGUGAGCUUCCCGGCGCGCGGGGGG